rnacentral:rRNA from 1 species
UGCCUACGGGGCGCAGCAGUGGGGAAUAUUGGGCAAUGGGCGCAAGCCUGACCCAGCAACGCCGCGUGAAGGAAGAAGGCUUUCGGGUUGUAAACUUCUUUUCUCAGGGACGAAGAAAGUGACGGUACCUGAGGAAUAAGCCACGGCUAACUACGUGCCAGCAGCCGCGGUAAUACGUAGGUGGCAAGCGUUAUCCGGAUUUAUUGGGUGUAAAGGGCGUGUAGGCGGGAGCGCAAGUCAGAUGUGAAAACUCAGGGCUCAACCCUUAGCUCUCAUUUUAAACUGUGGUUCUUUAGUGC